GAUGAACGCUGGCGGCGUGCCUAAUACAUGCAAGUCGAGCGAACAGACGAGGAGCUUGCUCCUCUGACGUUAGCGGCGGACGGGUGAGUAACACGUGGAUAACCUACCUAUAAGACUGGGAUAACUUCGGGAAACCGGAGCUAAUACCGGAUAAUAUAUUGAACCGCAUGGUUCAAUAGUGAAAGACGGUUUUGCUGUCACUUAUAGAUUGAUCCGCGCCGCAUUAGCUAGUUGGUAAGGUAACGGCUUACCAAGGCAACGAUGCGUAGCCGACCUGAGAGGGUGAUCGGCCACACUGGAACUGAGACACGGUCCAGACUCCUACGGGAGGCAGCAGUAGGGAAUCUUCCGCAAUGGGCGAAAGCCUGACGGAGCAACGCCGCGUGAGUGAUGAAGGUCUUCGGAUCGUAAAACUCUGUUAUUAGGGAAGAACAAAUGUGUAAGUAACUAUGCACGUCUUGACGGUACCUAAUCAGAAAGCCACGGCUAACUACGU
rnacentral:rRNA from 1 species